GACACACACGCAGACUCACAAAGCGCGCUUCUCUCCUGCGCCCAUGCUGUAGCUUAUCAGCCGGCGGACUCCACAUAGCAACCUCCCCUCUCUCCGUCUCUCCUUAUCCCAAACCCUCGGAGAGGAGUAGGAGUUAGAGAGGAGUGAUGAAGGCUACGCUGAAGGGCCGAUACGAGGUGAACGAGAGCGCCAGCGCCGUGGCCACCUUCGCCAUCGAUGCCGGCGACGUCCGCCUCCAGGCCUCCAUAUCCGAUGCCACCUUCGUCCUCUCCCUCGAGAAGCCCGGCGCAUUCAUCCUCGACUGCCACCUUCCCACCAAGAUGUUCGGUUCCAGUUCAUGAAUUCAAUCCGGCUGAUGGAGAAUACGGUGAAUCUGACCUACACCCACGCGCCGAGGGACAACCGGGCGGCCGUCGAUGAUUCCGUUGCCCUUGAUUUCUCCAACAAGGUCUCCGUCAGCUACUCCUUCGGCACGCCUGGCGCCUGCAAGGUCAAGUACAUCUACGCACACGGGGAGCUUCGGCGGACUGUGCUGGAACCCUGCUAGGACGUGUCCAAGAACGCCUGGGACUUCGCCCUCACCAGGAAGUUCGAGGGGGAAGACUCCCUCGAGGCCACCUACCACACCACCAACAAGAAUCUCGGCAUCGAAUGGAGCAAGGACUCCAUUGUCAACGGCUGCUUCAAGGUACAAAAGCAUGACAGAGAUCUGCACUGACAAUUGUUCAAUCUACAGCCAACCAGAUUGGUGCUUAAAGUGCCAUGAGACCAUUAUGUUAUAUGGUUAGUAGAAUGGAUUUUGAUGAAUUUGUCAGCUUUGGUGAUCAAGUAAAAGUCAGAUAUCUGCAACUGUCAAUUUAGCAGAGCUACAAAAAGUUCCAAAGUUGAUUGCUGAGAGUACGUGGAAUUACGAUAUGUAAUAUGAUUCUUUUACUUGGAUGAAAUAUUGGGUAUUGUCGUAAAUACAUGUGCAUCAAUCGAGGGGAAGAACGACUCGGCGGCAGGUACGCAUAUAUUCCAUCAGUUCACGCUCAUUCCCACUCCGUCUCCAUUUUCUUUCCCUCUGUUUCCAAAUCGAGCAGUGUCGUAAGUACACGCAAUAAAACACGCGCUUUCCUUACGCCUACAAGAACAGAGACAAACGUUUCCCAGCCGUUUCUCUUGCUUCAUCGGGCCCCGCCCCGCCCCCGCGGGAGUUGCGGCCAAUGAGAAGGGCCUCUUUCCUGUUUGGUGCCUCAGGCGGUGACCGAUUGAACGGGACCCUCACGCUGCUUGUUUUUGACGUGCCCCCUCACGGGUGAUGUCAGUCCUGUGGAACCUGACCGGCGUUUGGGUCCCACGCGUCGUCUCGAGGGCGCUUACUUCCAUUUAAGCAGCAAUUUCCAGUUCUAACGCCGCACUCGUUGACACGUCAUCGAGUAUGAUAUUCCCGUAACGAUUGGGUGUAAAGUUUAUUUGGCUCUUUGUGGAUGCCUUCUAUCCCCGCGUCGGACACACUCUUAAAUGAAACCCUAGCUCAGAUCUCUCUCUCACGUCGUUGCCAAGUCAAGCUCCUACUCGCCACCGUCUCGCCCCUCCUCCCGCUCUGCAUCGCUGCUCGUGUGGUGUCCACGUGUCGCGAUUAAAGCUUACCCUCAAUGCCCAUGGGCUCGCCCAAGGAAAAGAGGACGACGGGCGCCAGCUCCGCCUCCACCUCCUCCAAGGCCCCACGAGAGGCGGCGCCGCCGGCAACUGCACUGGUCCCCCCCGAAUGGUCCGCCUCCUUUCAGGCCUUCUACGACCGGGGAGCCGCCGCUGCCGCCGUGAUGCCCCAGGCUUUCUAUUCCCCGUCACCCAUCGCAACCGCGCAGCCUGUCGUUUGGGGAGCUCAGCAAGUGAUGCCGCCCUACGGCAGUCCGAUUGCUUACGCUUCGUUCUAUCCGCAAGGGGGUUUUUAUGCUCAGCCUCCGAUAAAUGCGGGCGUGGCUUUUCGAACCCGGGAAACCGAAGGGAGGCCGACAGAGGCGAAGGACAACCAGCCGACGAGCAAGAGGACUUCCAAAAUUUUAGAGGGAUCACCAGGAAAAUCAGGGAAUGAUGGUAAAAGGGCCUCUGGUGCUGGUGAGAAUGCCUCGCAGAGUGAUGACAGUGAAACAGACGGGUCAUCAGAUACUAAAGAAGACUAUGACCAACCAAAGGAACAUUCCCCAAACAGAAAAAGAAGUUAUGGAAAUACAACUGAAGGUGAAGGUUCUCAUUCCUUUGACACUGCUGGUAAUAGCGGUACUGCUGGAAGAGUGCGGACUGCCAAAAAGCUUCCAGUCUCAGCCCCAGGACGAGCAGCAUUGCGUGGUCCUCCAACUAAUUUGAAUAUCGGGAUGGACUUUUGGGGUGCUUCCCCUGCUGGAUCUGUACCUUCAAAGGACGAACGUGACCUGAGGCGGGAGAGAAGAAAACAGUCUAAUCGGGAGUCUGCCAGGAGGUCAAGGUUAAGGAAGCAGAUGUUGGAUAGAGCCCAUUAUGCGUUUUACUCGGUUGUUGAGUAUCAUCUCUGUUAUAACUGUCAAUAACGAUUCAAAGGGGACUUUUACACAGCAAGAAUGUGAAGAGUUGGCAAGGAGAGUGACUGAUUUGAACAAUGAGAACAGCGCACUCAGAGUAGAACUUGAAAACCUCCAGAAAUUGUGUGGGGAACUGGAAGCUGAAAAUAAAUCAAUCACGGGAGAAUUGAAACAAAGAUACGGGCCUGAAUUCUUAUCUGAAUUGAGCAGCAGCAUUGACGCAUCAAAGCUGCAAUCAGAUGUUGCCAGCAGUUGACCCUUUUUCAUCAAAGUCAAACUAAUUCUAACUUGUUAUACGAGGCUUCCAAGGUAGCCUUUGCCUUGUUCCACGACCACUCCACUGGCCUUGGGCUCUCGACACUUUUAGUUGAUGGAGAGGGUCUGCAUAGCUGGAUGUAUACUUAAAGAUCAAAUUAAGUAGUUUUAUGCCGUCUUUUUCUUUCUCGAUGAACCAGUUUCAGAUUGGCCUUUGGAGCGAGCUACAUUAGAUAUUUAAUAACUGGUGUUGCUGGUGUGAAAGAUUACGGAGGAUAGAAACAGCUCAAUUGAUGCUCUAACUGUCUUAAUGUAGUCAAAAGUCUGAUAUUGAUUUUUCUUAUAGUGUAAAUUGACUUGAAUUAUAGCCACAGUGUGUCAAUAUUAUUACACAAAAGAUUGAUGGUUGUGCCUGAUUUAUCUUGA